GAGUUUGAUCCUGGCUCAGAUUGAACGCUGGCGGCAGGCCUAACACAUGCAAGUCGAGCGGCAGCACGGGUACUUGUACCUGGUGGCGAGCGGCGGACGGGUGAGUAAUGCCUAGGAAUCUGCCUGGUAGUGGGGGAUAACGCUCGGAAACGGACGCUAAUACCGCAUACGUCCUACGGGAGAAAGCAGGGGACCUUCGGGCCUUGCGCUAUCAGAUGAGCCUAGGUCGGAUUAGCUAGUUGGUGAGGUAAUGGCUCACCAAGGCGACGAUCCGUAACUGGUCUGAGAGGAUGAUCAGUCACACUGGAACUGAGACACGGUCCAGACUCCUACGGGAGGCAGCAGUGGGGAAUAUUGGACAAUGGGCGAAAGCCUGAUCCAGCCAUGCCGCGUGUGUGAAGAAGGUCUUCGGAUUGUAAAGCACUUUAAGUUGGGAGGAAGGGCAGUUACCUAAUACGUAAUUGUUUUGACGUUACCGACAGAAUAAGCACCGGCUAACUCUGUGCCAGCAGCCGCGGUAAUACAGAGGGUGCAAGCGUUAAUCGGAAUUACUGGGCGUAAAGCGCGCGUAGGUGGUUCGUUAAGUUGGAUGUGAAAUCCCCGGGCUCAACCUGGGAACUGCAUCCAAAACUACUGAGCUAGAGUACGGUAGAGGGUAGUGGAAUUUCCUGUGUAGCGGUGAAAUGCGUAGAUAUAGGAAGGAACACCAGUGGCGAAGGCGACUACCUGGACUGAUACUGACACUGAGGUGCGAAAGCG
rnacentral:rRNA from 1 species